rnacentral:rRNA from 1 species
UACGUAGGGUGCGAGCGUUAAUCGGAAUUACUGGGCGUAAAGCGUGCGCAGGCGGUGCUGUAAGACCGAUGUGAAAUCCCCGGGCUUAACCUGGGAACUGCAUUGGUGACUGCAGCGCUGGAGUGUGGCAGAGGGGGGUGGAAUUCCACGUGUAGCAGUGAAAUGCGUAGAGAUGUGGAGGAACACCGAUGGCGAAGGCAGCCCCCUGGGCCAAUACUGACGCUCAUGCACGAAAGCGUGGGGAGCAAACAGG